rnacentral:rRNA from 1 species
UACAGGGGGGGCAAGCGUUGCUCGGAAUUACUGGGCGUAAAGGGCGCGUAGGCGGACAGUUUAGUCAGAGGUGAAAGCCCAGGGCUCAACCUUGGAAUUGCCUUUGAUACUGGCUGUCUUGAGUUCGGGAGAGGUGAGUGGAAUGCCGAGUGUAGAGGUGAAAUUCGUAGAUAUUCGGCGGAACACCAGUGGCGAAGGCGACUCACUGGCCCGAUACUGACGCUGAGGCGCGAAAGCGUGGGGAGCAAACAGG